AUGAGGGAGAAAUAUUGGGAAAGGGCAAAGCUGUGGCAUCCAGGCAGGGAAUUCAGGAACAAAAUAACUAACUUGAAGGGCUUGUACAAUGAUUGGGUAUGGUUGCAGCAGCAAACCGUCUGCGGCCGCGGCUUAGAUGGCGAAGUGACGGCAACUGCAGAUUGGUGGGAGAAAGAAAUCAAGGACAGACCAAAUCUCAAGAAAUUUAGAAAUGGUAACCCUGAGUAUAUGCCCCUGUUACAUGAGAUAUUUCAUGAGGUCGUUGUGGAUGGUUCAUCUGCUUAUGUUCCUGGGACAGAAGAUUGUUUGGAGUUAAAUAAUGAUGAUGACCUGGAUGGCAAUGAAGGCUUUGUGUCCAGCCCUAUGAGUACCAACACUCAAAAGAGAGGGAGCCGCUCAGAGUUAAGGAGUACAGCUAGUAGUCCUUCAAAGAGAAGCAAAACUUUAGACAACAUGCCUCGUACUCAAGGCAAAACUCGGGGUCCAUUUGUAAAAUAUAUGAAGGACAUAGAAACUAAGUUGGAGAAGGAAAGUGAGAAAACAGACUCUAUUUUGCAGGCUCUUGUGAACCAAGGCAAUGAAAAGGUUAGGAGAAGUGAGGAACGUGCUCAGUCAGUAAAAAACUGUCAGAACCUUGCCAUUGUUGCUUGUGAUUUAUUCAAGGAGAAACACAACAGAACUGUCUUCCAGAACAUGAAGACCCCUGAAGCUAGGUUGAUAUGGUUGAAGAGAUGGUGUAGGGCAAAGAACAUGUAUGCAACAGAUGGCGAGAUAUGA
rnacentral:rRNA from 1 species